rnacentral:other from 1 species
UUUCCCCUGCUGGGUACGUGACUUGCGGAACGAGAAAUAGAUGAACCAACAUUUUAUAUUCGGGAGUGUCCCCUGCCGGCUGUGUGCAUGCCCGUUCGCGGGAAGCCUAAUGUCGAUACGACGCGCCCACCUAGUUGGAGCAGGGUUCAUUGCAUUCCAUCCGCUCGACGGCCAUUGCGGGGGAUUU